rnacentral:rRNA from 1 species
UACGUAGGCAGCAAGCGUUGUUCGGAGUUACUGGGCGUAAAGAGUGCGUAGGUGGUGCCCUAAGUCUGUUGUGAAAUCUCCCGGCUUAACUGGGAGGGUGCGGUGGAAACUGGGGUGCUUGAGUGUGGGAGAGGUAAGCGGAAUUCCUGGUGUAGCGGUGAAAUGCGUAGAUAUCAGGAGGAACACCGGUGGCGAAGGCGGGUCUCUGGGCCGAAACUGACGCUGAGGAGCGAAAGCGUGGGGAGCAAACAGG